CUCCUGAUUUGAUUUCCUCAUGUGGACAAUGGGGAUCAGUACAGCUAUCCCUCAGGACUGCAGUGAUCAUUAAACAAGCUAGUGUGUCUAAAGUGAUGAACAUGGUAUCUGGCAGAGACUCAGUGAUGACUAAGGACUGCGGUGGUCGACCAACACUAGCUGAGCUAUCCCUCUCCCAGUACUCCUUCCUGAUCUCUGCACAAAUGGGAUUGAAUUGGAGUAUCCAAUUGGAACACCUUUCAUCUCUCGUGGAACCUCAAUUUCUGAGGGGAGUUGCUACUUCUGUUUGGAGCCUGUUGGAUCUCUGGGCUGUACCAUUUCAGAAUCGGUGGGACAGCUUCUGAUCUCCAGUUCUGAGUAUCCUGAGCAUGGGCAGUGGAGCAGAGCUACUCCUGCCUGGAGACGUGUGUGAGCCUUUCCCCCUCAACCUGCCUGAGGUGACUGAAGAGAUGUCAACAGGAAGGACUUCGUGAAAGGCAAGUGUCAGGGAUCACUGCAUAGGAAGCUGCCUCUGAAAUACUGAUGACGGAGCAAGGAUUGAUUUUUCCAGAAGAACCUCAGGAGAGUUCAUGAAGAAAUGAGGAGAAUCAAGUGUAACUGAGACUUCUUCCCCUCAUCAUGACACAUCUGGCCUUCUUGGAGGACAAUGCAGAUCUGCUGUAGGACUCAAAGGCUGAGUGGAUCCUUCCAAGACCAGCAGUGUCAGAGGUUGCAGUCCAUGAUUCCACGGAUGCCAAAGCAGGAGGAACUUGAAGCAGCUAAGUCACAUUCCCAGCAGAGGAGGGAAAACGGCACAUAUCCCUGCUUGCCAGGUCUUAGCUCCCUCUUUCCAUUUCAUUCCGAUCAGGACCCAGCUAGGCAAUUGUGCAGCCCACAUUCAGGAUAAGAGACAAGGUAAGAGAAGAUAAAUGCCCAAGGCCCCAGGGAGAGCAGGAGGCAGCACUGGACAACACAUCCAACUCUGUCUCCCUGUGGAUAUUCAUGGAUUCUCUUGGACAAAGUUCUACAAGAUGGUCGGACUGACUGAGGGGUGGUGCCAACCUAGCCUUUGACUUGGGCUCCUUGGAGUCAUUUACCUAGUGAUCAGAGUCAAUGUCCCUCUUCUAUACUAUGUGUGGACAGUGUCUGAGUCUUUACGCAUCUGAGCCUCUAGGGGUGUUCUGGGCUAUACAAUUAAAGGUAUUGUCG